rnacentral:misc_RNA from 1 species
UCUCCGUAGGUGAACCUGCGGAGGGAUCAUUACAGAGUUCAUGCCCUACCGGGUAGAUCUCCCACCCUAUGUUAUUAUUACUUUGUUGCUUUGGCGGGCCGUUAGGCUCCGGCCCGACUACCGGCCCCGGCUGGUGAGCGCCCGCCAGAGGACCCAAAACCCUGAAUAUUAGUGUCGUCUGAGUACUAUAUAAUAGUUAAAGCUUUCAACAACGGAUCUCUUGGUUCUG